AGUGAACGCUGGCGGUAGGCCUAACACAUGCAAGUCGAACGGCAGCACAGUAAGAGCUUGCUCUUACGGGUGGCGAGUGGCGGACGGGUGAGGAAUACAUCGGACUCUACUUUUUCGUGGGGGAUAACGUAGGGAAACUUACGCUAAUACCGCAUACGACCUACGGGUGAAAGCAGGGGAUCUUCGGACCUUGCGCGAUUGCAUGAGCCGAUGUCGGAUUAGCUAGUUGGCGGGGUAAAGGCCCACCAAGGCGACGAUCCGUAGCUGGUCUGAGAGGAUGAUCAGCCACACUGGAACUGAGACACGGUCCAGACUCCUACGGGAGGCAGCAGUGGGGAAUAUUGGACAAUGGGCGCAAGCCUGAUCCAGCCAUACCACGUGGGUGAAGAAGGCCUUCGGGUUGUAAAGCCCUUUUGUUGGGAAAGAAAAGCAGCAGAUUAAUACCCCGCUGUUCUGACGGUACCCAAAGAAUAAGCACCGGCUAACUUCGUG
rnacentral:rRNA from 1 species